rnacentral:rRNA from 1 species
ACCCGCUGAAUUUAAGCAUAUAAGUAAGCGGUGGAUAAGAAACUAAAUAGGAUUCCCUUAGUAAUGGCGAAUGAACAGGGAUGAGCUCAGCAUUAAAAUCUGGGCCCCCGGCCUUGAAUUGUAAUCUCGAGAAGUGCAACCAACGGCGGCGCAGGUGUAAGCCUCUUGGAAAAGAGCACCAAUGAGGGUGAGAGUCCCGUUUGUCAUCUGCAGUCCUCCGUAUACGGUGUGCUUUCUAAGAGUCACGUUCCUCGGGCUUGGAGCGCCAAAGGUGGUAAAUUUCAUCUAAAGCUAAAUAUAGGUUUGAGACCGAUAGCAAACAAGUACCAUGAGGGAAAGAUGAAAAGGACUUUGGAAAGAGAGUUAAAAGUGCCUGAAAUCGCUGAAAGGGAAGCGAAUGGAACCAGUGUUUCUUGCAGAGCUUGCUGGGAGUAAUCUGGAUGGGGCCUUGUCUCACCGCAAGGGUUUCAGGGUUCUUUGAAGGUGCGUUCCUGGUGCUGCUCUGCUUGCUUGUCAACGUCAAUUUGGAGUUGGGGAAAACUCUUGGGGAAUGGGAGCCCCUUUCCGGGGGGGUGAACGCCUCUUGUAGAACUCAUCUCUAGAUUGAAGUGCUUGCGUUUGGUUGCAAUGCCUCACUCUGUGCCAGCUGCCCUGGGAAAUUCAGCAGGUGCGCGGCGCUUACCAGUGGGUGCGUUCCUUGACGCUACGAUGCUGACAAAAUGGUUUCACUCGACCCGUCUUGAAACACGGACCAAGGA